rnacentral:lncRNA from 1 species
AGGAGUUCUACUUUGUCUGAGGCUUUAUUUCCAGUCUGCUGGUUUAAAUAAUAACAAAGCAUGUAGACCUCACCAAAAUCUGAAAGUUGACAUUGUGAAGCUGGAGAAAUACACGGGUAUGUUUUUACCUGAAGCCAGCAGUGGGUUUUUUUUUUUUGGUACAAAAUAAUUCCCCAGAAGAUCACUUCUGCAAGCAUGGGUAACAAGGAUGAUAUAAAUCUCUCAAAGGAAGGGAAGGAAGAGGACUUGAAACUGAAACAGUAGAUUUUUUAGGAGAAGUGACAUCAUUUCAUAGCUGAAGAAGCCAAGCAAUCGGUGGAUGUUUCAGAUCUCCUCCAGAGUAGGAGCUGGAACGAUGCAUGCCAGUUCCAUUUUGCUGAAGACCGGAGUAACUGUCUACACUUCUGAUCCUGCCAUGAGUCGUGGCAUUAUUGUACCACGUUUUCCAACCAUAAUAGAGAUGGGAGGUCUGA